rnacentral:rRNA from 1 species
CUUUUAACGAGAGUUUGAUCCUGGCUCAGGACGAACGCUGGCGGCGUGCCUAAUACAUGCAAGUCGAGCGAAC